AUAGCGUAUAUUAAAGUUGUUGCAGUUAAAAAGCUCGUAGUUGAAUUUCGGGAUCAAUAUGUUGGUCGUGCCUUGGUACGUACUGGCAUUAUUGGUUUCUACCUUCUGAAGAACCUCGAUGUCAUUAAUUUGGUGUCUUGGGGAAUCAGGACUGUUACUUUGAAAAAAUUAGAGUGUUUAAAGCAGGCUCGCGCUUGAAUACAUUAGCAUGGAAUAAUGAAAUAGGACGUUUGAUUCUAUUUUGUUGGUUUCUAGGAUCGACGUAAUGAUUAAUAGGGAUAGUUGGGGGCAUUAGUAUUCAAUUGUCAGAGGUGAAAUUCUUGGAUUUAUUGAAGACUAACUACUG
rnacentral:rRNA from 1 species